CUACAAUAAGGGUGGCGAGUCCACGCAGACAUUUCAGCUGCUUAACCCAACUGAUGACAUCUAUCGUGGUGUGGAGAUGCAUGUCCUCAGUAACUGGGGACAAGCUGAAUAUACAUGUCUUUACCGCCUUCGUGUGCAUGGGAAGAUCGCCUCCACAUGAAUUCUAAUGGACUGUCUUUCUCAGUACCUCUCUCUGUCUUUUUUUUCUAUUCAAAUCCUUUGUAAAAAAAAUAAUGUUUUAACGCCCUAAGUUUUUCUUUUAAUUCAUAAAUUUGGUUCAACUUUCUACUUCCACUAAUUUGAACUUUCAGUUAUACAAUUAUUUUCUAACUAUUCUACUUUUUGAAUAGAGAACGAGAUGGUGAAUAUCCCACGUACAUUUGAGGGUUAGUGCUAGGGUAUGCUUAGGCUAAGGGUACAUCUGACUGGCUACUGGCUUGUAUGGCAGCACUAUGAAAGCCAUGUGGCCUGCUCAGUGGACCAGUCAUCAUUACCUCUAUGCCCUUUUAAACUUAAAACUGAAUGUUCCCUGUGAUUUCUGAUGCACUAAUAAUGCCUACCAUCAGUUUAUGCUUCGGAUGUAAGCGGAUGUUAGGGACAUGUCUUCAGUUGUGUACUUGUACCUAAUUCAGUUCAUAUUCAGCUGUAUAAAAUGCAUUUCAUAGAUGCAUGUGAACCAUAAUACCAGAUGUAUCAUAAGCAUACAAUUCUACUAUUUUCAAGAAUUAAUUAAAUAAAGCAUUAUGGUUUCUUA